rnacentral:rRNA from 1 species
CACGUAGGGCGCAGGCGUUGUCCGGAAUUAUUGGGCGUAAAGAGCUCGUAGGCGGUCUGUUGCGUCCGCUGUGAAAACCCGGGGCUUAACCCCUGGCUUGCAGUGGAUACGGACAGACUAGAGGUAGGUAGGGGAGAAUGGAAUUCCCGGUGUAGCGGUGAAAUGCGCAGAUAUCGGGAGGAACACCGGUGGCGAAGGCGGUUCUCUGGGCCUUACCUGACGCUGAGGAGCGAAAGCGUGGGGAGCGAACAGG